rnacentral:rRNA from 2 species
GACCUCAAAUGAUGUGUGACUACCCC